rnacentral:rRNA from 1 species
GUGCAGCAGGCGCGAAUACUCCGCAAUGCGGGCAACCGCGACGGGGCUACCCCGAGUGCCGGGCGAAGAGCCCGGCUUUUGCCCGGUCUAAAACGCCGGGCGAAUAAGCGGGGGGCAAGUCUGGUGUCAGCCGCCGCGGUAAUACCAGCUCCGCGAGUGGUCGGGGUGUUUAUUGGGCUUAAAGCGCCCGUAGCCGGCCCGGCAAGUCCCUCCUUAAAGCCCACGGCUCAACCCGGGGGCGGGGGGCGAUACUGCCGGGCUAGGGGGCGGGAGAGGCCGCCGGUACUCCGGGGGUAGGGGCGAAAUCCGUUAAUCCCCGGAGGACCACCAGUGGCGAAAGCGGGCGGCCAGAACGCGCCCGACGGUGAGGGGCGAAAGCCGGGGGAGCAAAGGGGAUUAGAUACCCCUGUAGUCCCGGCCGUAAACGAUGCGGGCUAGCUGUCGGCCGGGCUUAGGGCCCGGCCGGUGGCGAAGGGAAACCGUUAAGCCCGCCGCCUGGGGAGUACGGCCGCAAGGCUGAAACUUAAAGGAAUUGGCGGGGGAGCAAC